rnacentral:rRNA from 1 species
UACGAAGGGGGCUAGCGUUGCUCGGAAUUACUGGGCGUAAAGCGCACGCAGGUGGUUUGUUAAGUCAGAUGUGAAAUCCCCGGGCUCAACCUGGGAACUGCAUCUGAUACUGGCAAGCUUGAGUCUCGUAGAGGGGGGUAGAAUUCCAGGUGUAGCGGUGAAAUGCGUAGAGAUCUGGAGGAAUACCGGUGGCGAAGGCGGCCCCCUGGACGAAGACUGACGCUCAGGUGCGAAAGCAUGGCGAGCAAACAGG